UAUAUAUACGAGAGAAAGACUGCUCGAGCGCUUGCGAGAAAGUCGCUGACUUGACGCUGAUGUCCCUCUAGCGGCGAGGAAUGCGAAAUCUAUUGCUACUGUUGUGUUGCAUUCGGUUCCGACAGCGGAAAGUAAUAAUUAUUAUUAUUUAUUAGUUAAUAUCGACGACGUACGAUACCGCGACUAUGAUUCCGUUAACCCUUUGCACUCGGAUAUCCACUGGGGAUAGAGUCACGUUGUACGUGACAGAUAUUACAGGUUAUGUUAAUUAAUUAAUUCGACCGUGUUCCCUUGGAUAAACGUGUGCUUAUGGAAAUGGAAAUUGCGAGAGAAAGCGGGCCAACUAUUCCUUAACUAUGAAUAGUUGUUCUGUGAAAAGAAUAUCAAUGUCAUUAUGUAUUGUUGAAGCACCUUAUACGUAUACCUUAUCUAUCUGGAAAGAUCGAAUUUAAAUAGAGAGAAAGAAAAAUGGUUGAUUGAUUGAUUAAACGGAACAAUAUUGAUUUCGAGUCGAUCCAGUGCCACAAGAAGAAAGAACAAGUAUUAAGCCUGUUCGAUCAACAUGAUUUCAGUUUCAGUUUGUAUUUGUGUGUGCAUGAUGCCAUCUUUAAAUUAAAAUCAAUGUCUGCAACCACAAUCAAGGCUGCUUGUUUAACAUUGAGAGUAAUUCCAUUAUUAUUACUGGAUGCUUGAUAUUUCAACUAAAACCAAGUAACUGUUUACUUAAUUAUUCAUUUAUAUACAAUAUUUCAAACUAAGACAUCGAUUGAAUCCUUGCCACUUGAUGUAUUAACAGGAGAGAAUAUGAAUUACAUUUAGGAUUUACUACCAAGUAUAAGGUUACUCCAUAUAUAUGAUACUUAUGCCCUCGUAAGCUUUAAAAGAAGUAAUAAUCAUAUAUAAUCAUCGCAACUACCAAAAAACACACACGUUUACAAAGUUAUAUGCUAUAACUUUACUUAUAUAUAUAUAUAUACUCUAUACUACUUAUAAAUAUACUAUACUAUAACAUUAAAUAGUAUACAAAGUUAUAUACUGUUUAAUGUAGUGCCUUUCUUAUACGCACAGUGCAGAGGGUUAAUGGCAACAAAAUUCUCUUUCAGACAAAGGCUUUGAUUGGUUAUAGGUUAGGUUACCUGCCGCGCAAUCACAUGUUCAUUUAUUUAAAUAGGCAGUCGGACAAAUGACAAGAAAUAGGACAAUUUCAUUCGCUAUACACUCACAGGUUAGGUUACGAUACGUAUUCCGUUACAUUAAAGUGAAUCUUUUGCCAAUAAAUAUCACAUUGUAAACUGCAA